AAGACCAGAGGCCACAAGUUCUGUC
rnacentral:piRNA from 1 species